rnacentral:ncRNA from 11 species
GGAUAUCAUCAUAUACUGUAAG